UACGAAGGGGGCUAGCGUUGUUCGGAAUUACUGGGCGUAAAGCGCGCGCAGGCGGCUAUCCAAGUCAGUGGUGAAAGCCCGGAGCUCAACUCCGGAACUGCCAUUGAAACUGUUUAGCUUGAGGACGAGAGAGGUGAGUGGAAUUCCCAGUGUAGAGGUGAAAUUCGUAGAUAUUGGGAAGAACACCGGUGGCGAAGGCGGCUCACUGGCCCGGUACUGACGCUGAGGUGCGAAAGCGUGGGGAGCAAACAGGG
rnacentral:rRNA from 1 species